rnacentral:rRNA from 1 species
AUUGAACGCUGGCGGCAGGCCUAACACAUGCAAGUCGAGCGGAUGAAGGGAGCUUGCUCCUGGAUUCAGCGGCGGACGGGUGAGUAAUGCCUAGGAAUCUGCCUGGUAGUGGGGGAUAACGUCCGGAAACGGGCGCUAAUACCGCAUACGUCCUGAGGGAGAAAGUGGGGGAUCUUCGGACCUCACGCUAUCAGAUGAGCCUAGGUCGGAUUAGCUAGUUGGUGGGGUAAAGGCCUACCAAGGCGACGAUCCGUAACUGGUCUGAGAGGAUGAUCAGUCACACUGGAACUGAGACACGGUCCAGACUCCUACGGGAGGCAGCAGUGGGGAAUAUUGGGCAAUGGGCGAAAGCCUGAUCCAGCCAUGCCGCGUGUGUGAAGAAGGUCUUCGGAUUGUAAAGCACUUUAAGUUGGGAGGAAGGGAAGUAAGUUAAUAUCUUGCUGUUUUGACGUUACCUACAGAGUAAGCACCGGCUAACUUCGUG